rnacentral:rRNA from 1 species
CCCUUAGAUGUUCUGGGCCGCACGCGCGCUACACUGAUGCAUUCAACGAGUCUAAAACCUGGUCUGAUAGGGCUGGGUAAUCUUUUGAAAGUGCAUCGUGAUUGGGAUAGAUGAUUGCAAUUCUUCAUCUUCAACGAGGAAUGCCUAGUAAACGCAAGUCAUCAGCUUGCAUUGAUUACGUCCCUGCCCUUUGUACACACCGCCCGUCGCUCCUACCGAUUGAAUGAUCCGAUGAAUACCAUGGAUUGAGAGUACGAAUGGGUUCGCUCAUUUCUGCUGCUCGAGAAGUGGAGUAAAUCUUAUCAUUUAGAGGAAGGAGAAGUCGGAACA